rnacentral:tRNA from 1 species
GGACGGUGAUGGCGCAGUCGUACUGGCGUGCCAGUCGAGCGAGCAGGGCGAGGUCGACGUGACUGAGCAUCCCCGGUUCCACGGCCGGCACGGUCUGC